rnacentral:lncRNA from 1 species
GCAUAUUUAAUGAUGUAUGCUCAAGCCAGAGGAACAUUUUAUGUACAGGUGAACUGUUCAAAUAAAUAUUUCAUAAUUUUAUCAUUAUUAUUAUAUAAUAGAAAACCCAUAUCUAUAGGGGAUAGGUUCCAAGCCUCUCCACAGAUAUCUAAAACUGCAGAUAGUAGCCAACACAAUAUAAUAAAUGCUCUACAUACCUAUGAUAAAAUUUAAUUUAUAUAGGCAUAAUAAAACAUGAACAAUAAUAACUAAUAAUUUGGGUAUUGGGUAUAAAAACUAAUAAUUUGGGUAAAUAUUGGGUAUUGUAAGAUAGAGUUCUUUCCUUUCUAUAAGUGUUUAUUAAACACUUAUUUUUAUUUUGUUAUGAAUAUU